rfam:Laetiporus sulphureus 93-53 unplaced genomic scaffold LAESTscaffold_30, whole genome shotgun sequence.
GCUCUUGUAGUGUAGUGGUUCAUCACUUGGGAUUUUGACAAAAUCGGAAAUUCCCAGAACCCAGGUUCGAACCCUGGCAAGAGCU